CCUCGGGAGGCAGCAGUGGGGGAUAUUGCACAAUGGGGGAAACCCUGAUGCAGCGACGCCGCGUGUGGGAAGACGGUCCUCUGGAUUGUAAACCACUGUCCCCAGGGACGAAGAUGACGGUACCUGGGGAGGAAGCUCCGGCUAACUACGCGCCAGCAGCCGCGGUAAUACGUAGGGAGCGAGCGUUGUCCGGAAUUACUGGGUGUAAAGGGAGCGUAGGCGGGACUGCAAGUUGGGUGUCAAGUCUACCGGCUCAACCGGUAGCCGCACUCAAAACUGCAGUUCUUGAGUAAAGUAGAGGCAGG
rnacentral:rRNA from 1 species